GGGUGUCUCUGGAAGAUACUUGAAUCACAGGACUGAAUAAGGAAGAGCUGCCCUCAGCGUGGCCGGGCAACAUCUAAUCGGCUGAAAGCUUGGAUCGAAUGAAAAGGCAGAGGAAAGGUGAAUUUUCUUUUUAUCCUGGAGCUGGACACCCUGUUUCUCCUGCCUGUGGACAUCAGAAUUCUAGGCUCUGUGGCAUUUCAACUGUAAAACUUGCACUAGUAGCCAGCUGGUUUCUCAAGUCGUUGGCUUCAAAACUGAGAAGUACAGCAUUCUCUUCCCAGGUUCUGAAGACCUCAAAUGGACUGAGCCACACUACCAGCAUCCAGCAUCCAUGGUUCUCCAGUCUGCAGAUGGCCUAUUAUGGGACUUUUCAGUCUUCAUAAUUAUAUGAGAGAAAGAAAAUGAAAAGGAUUUGUAAACUAUAAAUCUCUAAACAGAUGGGAGGAAAGGAAUUGAUGAAACAAUAAAUUUAUUGAUGAAACAAUAAAAAUAAACAUAAAGAACCAAAGGUGAGGAAACGGAAACUCAUGAAAACAAAGAAACUCAUCCAAAGUUUCUCUGCAAAUACAUGAUUGAGUUAAAGGAGCUGUGGAAUAAAAAAAACAAAAACAAAAACAAAACAAAAAAACAGGCUAAGCUAGGAAGUUACAAAGAGUGUUACACUGCGCCUUUAAGGAAAACUUUCCUUCAUCAUUCCUGUAAGCGUGGACAUGCAACUUCUCUCACCACAAAGG
rnacentral:lncRNA from 1 species